UACCUGGUUAUCCUGCCAGUAGUCAUAUGCUUGUCUCAAAGAUUAAGCCAUGCAUGUGUAAGUAUGAACAAAUUCAGACUG
rfam:Gossypium arboreum cultivar AKA8401 contig_389128_1, whole genome shotgun sequence.